UGGCGGACGGGUGAGUAACGCGUGGGUAACCUGCCUUGUACUGGGGGACGAACAGUUAGAAAUGACUGCUAAUACCGCAUAAGCGCACAGUAUCGCAUGAUACCGUGUGAAAAACUCCGGUGGUACAAGAUGGACCCGCGUCUGAUUAGCUAGUUGGUAAGGUAACGGCUUACCAAGGCGACGAUCAGUAGCCGGCCUGAGAGGGUGAACGGCCACAUUGGGACUGAGACACGGCCCAA
rnacentral:rRNA from 1 species